rnacentral:rRNA from 1 species
GAUGAACGCUAGCGACAGGCUUAACACAUGCAAGUCGAGGGGUAACAGGGUAGCAAUACCGCUGACGACCGGCGCACGGGUGAGUAACGCGUAUGCAACCUGCCUAUAACUGGGGAAUAGCUCCCUGAAAGGGGAAUUAACACCGCAUAACACUAUUGAUUCGCAUGGAUUGGUAGUUAAAUGUAGCGAUACAGGUUAUAGAUGGGCAUGCGUGACAUUAGCUAGUUGGUGAGGUAACGGCUCACCAAGGCUACGAUGUCUAGGGGUUCUGAGAGGAAGGUCCCCCAACUGGUACUGAGACACGGACCAGACUCCUACGGGAGCAGCAGCGAGGAAUAUUGGUCAAUGGGCGCAAGCCUGAACCAGCCAUGUCGCGUGCAGGAAGACUGCCCUAUGGGUUGUAAACUGCUUUUAAGUAGAAGAAACACAUCUACGUGUAGAUGUCUGCCAGUAUACUAUGAAUAAGCAUCGGA